CGUACGUAGAGUGUAAAGGCAAAAGAGAGCUUGAUUGAAAGAAAUACAGGUCGAGCAAGGCUGAAACUCGGACUUAGUGAUCCGGUGAUUCUGCGUGGAAGUGCCAUCGCUCAACGGCAACAAGCUACCCUGGGGAUAACAGGCUAAUCUCACCCACGAGUCCACAUCGACGAGGAGGCUUGGCCCAUCGAUGUCGGCUCUCCACAUCAUGGGGCUUCAGUAUGUACAAAGGGUUAUGCUGUUCGCCCAUUAAAGUGGUACGCGAGCUGGGUUCAGCACGUCGUGAGACAGUUCGCUCCCUAUACGUCGCAGGCGGAUGAAAUUUGUGAUGACCUGUCCUUAUUACGAGAGGUCCGUGCUGGACGUACUUCUGGUGUACCAGUUGUCCUGCCAAGGGCAUGGCUGGGUAGCUAUGU
rnacentral:rRNA from 1 species